rnacentral:ncRNA from 2 species
ACAAUCUGCUCAGCCUGAGGUGCUCUAAGGACGUUCGUCCAAGGAGUGAAACGGGAAGCCGGUGCGUCCCAUCCCAUGUGGACAAUUCCGGCGCUGCCCCCGCAACGGUAGGCGAGACACGGCGGAUCACGACGCCACUGCGCAUCACGCGCGGGAAGGCGAUCCGGCCGGGGUUCAACCAAAGGAACCCGCUCGCAAGCCCGGAGACCGGCCUGAGGCGUAACUGGCGU